CAGCCGCGCCCUCAGGGAGGCCCGCCGGAAACCUGGCAGGAGCAAGUGCCUGGAGGAGAGGGGUUGCAGGAGCCGGCUGUGGCGGCCACAAAGCCUCUGCCUAAUUCCAAGCCCUGACCUACACAAGGGUACAUAGUCCCCCUGAAGGGAAAGCUGGGGGAGUCGGGACCGACCUGCCGGGUCGGGGCCUGGUGGACUGCUCGGUAUCUUCACUGAGGGCCCCCGGGAGCCUGGAUUACUGGUGGCUGUGAGCAGGGUGGGAUGCCCACGUGAGAGCAGCAGAGAAGCUCCAUGUAACUCGCAGGGAAGAAACACCAGGGAAACGAAGAAGAGAAAACUGAGACACUGAGUCUUCAUUUAUUUCCUGCCACUGAAAGGUGAAGAAAGGCAAGGCAAACAGUGGAAGAGAAAAAGAAAUGAGCAAGGGAGAUCGGGAAAAGAGGAGCUACAUAAUUCAUCUGUUGCUGUCGGAAAUGGCACGAAAUUAAAAUCCUUCUUAAAAGAUCCGUUAAACUGCAAGGCCUUUUCCUAUAAACCAUGCAUGAAGGCAAAUGCUGACAGUGAAAUUAUUCCUCACUAGAAAUUUCUCAAGAUGUGAAACUCAAAAUCAGCUAAUUCUGAUUAAAAAAAAAGAAUUAGAUGCCAGUAGCGAUUUCUUAAAAAAAAAAAAAAAAAAAAGCAAAAUCUUACAAUAUUUAGGAUACCUUCUUGAGCUUCUGCCUGACACUGGACAACAUAAGCUUCCAGGAGCCGUGCCUCUAAAUCCCUCCCCUUCUCUACAGGUGUAAUGAGCUUUGGGAUAUGACUUUCCUGAGAGAGAAAGAGAAACAAAAAUAAAGAAGUCAAAUUUUAUUUUAACCCAAUUGUUACAGAUAAACAAAAUGGAAGUUAUUAGACAUUCAAUUUGGGGAUUUAUCAGAAACUCGGGGUAUCUGGCUGGCUCAGUCAGUAGAGCAUGCAAUCCCUGAUCUCGGGGUUAUGAGUUCAAGCCCCACAGUGUUUAAAAUAAAAGUCUUGAAGGGGGAAGAAAAAAAAGAAAAGAAAAAUUCCGGACAGCAAAAUUGUGUAAAGAGGAGCGAUAUUAAGCUUAUAGAGAAUAAAAGUUCCUGUAUACUAAAACUUAAAGCUUCUCAUAAACUUCUGCAAACUUUGGGCCAAAAUACAUAGCUUAGAUAUGCAGGUCGUUAUUUUCAUCUUAGAAAAUGUUUAACUGAAACAGUAACCAAAGUUCUCUUUUGCAUGAUGGCUAGAAUUAUUCACUCAUUAA